GUGCUUGCUUCAGCAACACAUAUACUAAAAUUGGAAUGAUACAGGGAAGAUUAGCAUGGCCCCUGUGCAAGGAUGAUGUGCAAAUUCAUGAAGUGCUCCAUACUAAA
rnacentral:snRNA from 1 species